UUUUUCCACCGGAGCUUGCUCCACCGGAAAAAGAAGAGUGGCGAACGGGUGAGUAACACGUGGGKAACCUGCCCAUCAGAAGGGGAUAACACKUGGAAACAGGUGCUAAKACCGUAUAACAAUCGAAACCGCRUGGUUUUGAUUUGAAAGGCGCUUUCGGGUGKCGCUGAUGGAUGGACCCGCGGUGCAUUAGCUAGKUGGUGAGGUAACGGSUCACCAAGGCYACGAUGCAUAGCCGACCUGAGAGGGUGAUCGGCCACRUUGGGACUGAGACACGGCCCAAACUCCUACGGGAGGCAGCAGUAGGGAAUCUUCGGCAAUGGACGAAAGUCUGACCGAGCAACGCCGCGUGAGUGAAGAAGGUUUUCGGAUCGUAAAACUCUGUUGUUAGAGAAGAACAAGGAUGAGAGUAACUGUUCAUCCCUUGACGGUAUCUAACCAGAAAGCCACGGCUAACUACGUGCCAGCAGCCGCGGUAAUACGUAGGUGGCAAGCGUUGUCCGGAUUUAU
rnacentral:rRNA from 1 species